rnacentral:misc_RNA from 1 species
ACACCUUCAAGCCCUGCUUGGUGUUGGGUGACUGUGGCCCCAUGGGCCACUCGCCUCAAAGUCAUUGGCGGCCGGUACGUAGGCUUCGAGCGCAGCACAUGUGCGUCCUCGCGCCUCUCGGAUCGGCUCCCAGAAGCUAAACCUCACU